UCAAGUUAUUAAGGGUGCAGGGCGGAUGCCUUGGCACUAGGAGCCGAUGAAGGACGUGAUAAGCUGCGAUAAGCUUCGGGGAGUUGCACGUAAACUUUGAUCCGAAGAUUUCCGAAUGAGGAAACUCACUUAGAGUAAUGUCUAAGUAUCAUUAAGUGAAUACAUAGCUUAAUGAGGGGAACUCAGGGAACUGAAACAUCUAAGUACCUGAAGGAAGAGAAAGAAAUUCGAUUCCGUAAGUAGCGGCGAGCGAACGCGGAUUAGCCCAAACCAAUAAAGUUUUCUUUAUUGGGGUUGCGGACAUAUCAUAACGAAGAGGUAUCGUAAUUGAAGAGGUUUGGAAAGACCCACCACAGAAGGUAAUAGUCCUGUAUGUUAAACGAGAAGACUUUAGAUAUGAUCCAGAGUACCACGGGACACGUGAAACCCUGUGGGAAGCAGGAGGGACCACCCUCCAAGGCUAAAUACUACCUAGUGACCGAUAGCGUAUAGUACCGUGAGGGAAAGGUGAAAAGAACCCCGGGAGGGGAGUGAAAUAGAACCUGAAACCCUGCACUUACAAGCUGUGGAAGCACAUUUCUUGUGUGACCGCGUACUUUUUGUAGAACGGGCCAACGAGUUACGUUAAGUAGCAAGGUUAAGCACUUAAGGUGCGGAGCCGUAGCGAAAGCGAGUUUUAACUGAGCGUUCAGUUACUUGACGUAGACCCGAAACCGGGCGACCUACCCAUGAGCAGGAUGAAGCGAAAGUAAAAUUUCGUGGAGGUCCGAACCCACGAGCGUUGAAAAGCUCGGGGAUGACUUGUGGGUAGCGGUGAAAUUCCAAUCGAGCCCGGAGAUAGCUGGUUCUCCCCGAAAUAGCUUUAGGGCUAGCCUCAAGGUGAGAGAUACGGAGGUAGAGCACUGAAUGUCCUAGGGGGUAUUGCACCUACCGAAGACUAUCAAACUCCGAAUGCCGUCAUCUUAUACUUGGGAGUCAGACUGUGGGUGAUAAGAUUCAUAGUCGAAAGGGCAACAGCCCAGAUCGUCAGCUAAGGUCCCUAAAUGUAAGUUAAGUGGUAAAGGAUGUGGGAUUGCACAGACAACCAGGAUGUUGGCUUAGAAGCAGCCACUCAUUCAAAGAGUGCGUAAUAGCUCACUGGUCGAGUGAUCCUGCGCCGAAGAUUUCCGGGGCUAAAACUUACUACCGAAGCUACGGCAUCAGUAAUGAUGGGUAGGGGAGCUUCCCAUACGGGUUGAAGCAUGACCGUAAGGACAUGUGGACAGUAUGGGAGUGAGAAUGUUGGCAUGAGUAGCGAGAUGUGGGUGAGAAUCCCACAGGCCGUAAACCCAAGGUUUCCAGGGGAAGGUUCGUCCGCCCUGGGUUAGUCGGGACCUAAGCUGAGGCCGAAAGGCGUAGGUGAUGGACAACAGGUUGAUAUUCCUGUACUACCGAUAACCAUUUGAGAGAAGGGAUGACACAGUAGGAUAAGCUAAGCACACUGUUGGUUAUGUGUGCCCAAGCAUUGAGGCAGUCAAAGUAGGCAAAUCCGCUUUGAUAAUGCUGGGAUGUGAUGGGGAGCGAAAUUUAGUAGCGAAGUAGCUGAUUUCACACUGUCAAGAAAAGUCUCUAUCGAGGUUAAAGGUACCCGUACCGCAAACCGACACAGGUGGGUGAGGAGAGUAUCCUAAGGCCAGCGAGAGAACUGUUGUUAAGGAACUCGGCAAAAUGACCCCGUAACUUAGGGAUAAGGGGUGCCACCAUCAGGUGGCCGCAGAGAAUAGGCCCAAGCGACUGUUUACCAAAAACAUAGGUUUCUGCUAAGUCGCAAGACGAUGUAUAGGAGCUGACGCCUGCCCGGUGCUGGAAGGUUAAGGGGAUCUGUUAGAGCAAUCGAAGCAGUGAACUUAAGCCCCAGUAAACGGCGGCCGUAACUAUAACGGUCCUAAGGUAGCGAAAUUCCUUGUCGGGUAAGUUCCGACCCGCACGAAAGGCGUAACGAUUUGGGCACUGUCUCAACAACAGACUCGGUGAAAUUGUAAUUCCGGUGAAGAUGCCGGAUACCUGCGACAGGACGGAAAGACCCCAUGGAGCUUUACUGUAGCUUGACAUUGGGUCUUGGUACUACAUGUACAGGAUAGGUGGGAGGCUUUGAAACCAGGACGCCAGUUUUGGCGGAGCCAUCCUUGGGAUACCACCCUUGUAGUACUGGGACUCUAACCAUAGGCCAUGAAUCUGGUCUUGGGACACUGUCAGGUGGGCAGUUUGACUGGGGCGGUCGCCUCCCAAAAGGUAACGGAGGCGCUCAAAGGUUCUCUCAGUACGGUCGGAAAUCGUACGUAGAGUGUAAAGGCAAAAGAGAGCUUGAUUGCAAGACAUACAGGUCGAGCAAGGAUGAAAAUCGGACUUAGUGAUCCGGUGGUUCUGCGUGGAAGGGCCAUCGCUCAACGGAUAAAAGCUACCCUGGGGAUAACAGGCUUAUCUCCCCCAAGAGUCCACAUCGACGGGGAGGUUUGGCACCUCGAUGUCGGCUCAUCACAUCCUGGGGCUGUAGUAGGUCCCAAGGGUUGGGCUGUUCGCCCAUUAAAGUGGUACGCGAGCUGGGUUCAGAACGUCGUGAGACAGUUCGGUCCCUAUCCGUCGCAGGCGUAGGAAAUUUGAGAAGACCUGUCCUUAGUACGAGAGGACCGGGAUGGACGUACCUCUGGUGUACCAGUUGUUCUGCCAAGGGCAUGGCUGGGUAGCUGUGUACGGAAUGGAUAAGCGCUGAAAGCAUCUAAGCGCGAAGCCAACUUCAAGAUAAGAUUUCCCACCGCAAGGGUAAGACCCCAGAAAGACUAUCUGGUUGAUAGGUCGAAGGUGUAAGUGCAGCAAUGUAUUUAGCUUAUCGAUACUAAUAGGUCGAGGACUUGACCAA
rnacentral:rRNA from 1 species